GGGCCCAGAGAUAGCAUAGAUUAUAGCUGAUCAAGUUAGAUUAAUUAAAAAAAGGUUGAAGGCAGCACAUGACCGAUAGAAAAGCUAUAUUGAUCUAAAAUAUAGAGAUGUAGUAUUCAGUGUGGGUGAUAAAGUAUUCCUUAAAGUCUCUCUUUGGAAAGGUAUAUUAUAAUUUAAGAAAUAAGGAAAGCUAAAUCCAAGGUACAUCAGGCCAUAUGAGAUCACAGAGUGUAAUGGGUCAGUAGCGUGUUGUUUGGCACUACCACCAGAAUUUUUUCAAAUUCAUAAUGUGUUUCAUAUUUCUAUGUUAUGGAGGUACAUUUUAGAUCCAUCAC
rnacentral:lncRNA from 1 species